CAUAAUUAGAAAAGUAUCACCAUUUUCCUGGGACAAAAAUAUGUAAGUUUAAACAUUUUUAGUGCCAGGUCAGUAGUCACGAUUUACCAACAGCAUUUUUUAUUUUAAAAAUACAGUUAGUGACUACACCAUUGGCUAACAAACUGAGACUUAAAGCAUUCUCUAGAUGCAAAUGCUACAAAUAAAUCAAAUUAUUAGGCAUAUUCACUAAUACUUACAAACUUAACUUCAUAUAUAAAGCAAGGUAGAUCACCAGUGUGGCCAUGCAAACAGGGUUUGAGGACUUCAAUAUUUAAAGCAAGUUAGUCCAACCCACAGCCCAAGGGCCACAUGCAGCCCAGGAUGGCUUUGAAUGAGGCCCAACACAAAUUAGCAAAUUACUAAACUUACUUAAAAUGAUGGGAUUUUAUUUUUUGCCAUUUUUUGGUUUGUGUGUUUGGUUUUUAGCUCAUCAGCUUUGUUAGUGUUAGUGUAUUUUAUGUGUGGCCCAAGACAAUACUUCCAAUGUGGCCCAGGGAAGCCAAAAGAUUGGACACUCCUGAUUUAAAGGGAAAAGGGAGGGCAGAUGAAGAAAGAGGAUAAAAAAAAGAGAGAGAAGGUAGACAAAACAGGAAAGUGGUUAGUCUUUGGAGGCUUUGAUUAGCACUUACUGAAUCUACAUUUUACAUGUGAAAGGAGUGGGUAGCGAAACAGUGAAUUAUGCAUAGUGCUCAGUGCGUCUGCAUUUUUGCAUAAGAUAAAGUAAACAUAGAGGAGGUGCUCAAAUAUGCAUUCCUCUCAGGUGAGCCAAGGGAUGCCCUCUAGGCCUGUCUUUGUCAAGGUACCGGUGAAGAUAAGCUGUUAGUUUACAUUGUCAAGGUGAAAUAGAACAGCGUUCUGUUUUAGGGUAAAGCUCUUGGGGCCCACGAGGAAUUUCCUUGUGAGCAAUUUGUGAAGGAGGCCACCGGGGGAGACAUGUGGCCUUCUGUCUUUGCAGCUAUCUACUUAGGAACAAAAUGGAAGGCAGUUUUUGCAUGAUGCAGUUACUGAGCUUCACUUUUCCCUUUGGCAUAGUGAGUUUGGGGUCCUGAGAUUUUUAUAUUCCUUUCACAGCCUCACUAUACUUGAAUUAAAAUACAAUCUACAUGUUAAAACUGACCACAUCAUUCUUUCCUGUGUGUCUUCAAAGGAUUUAAGGCCCAUCCAGAUAAUCCAAGAUGAUCUCAUUUCAAAGCCUUAAUUAUAUCUUUGAUGACUCUUUUUCCAAAUAAGGUCUCAAUUAGAGGUUCCUGGAAUAAGACACGGACUCAUCUCCCUGGGGGCCACCAUUCAGCCUGAUCCGGAAGGAAGGCCAUGAUUUCAGCUCUCUGGGAUUUGAGACAAAGAGGCCCCUUUUCUUUCAUUUUAUCUUUUCAUGUCUCUUCUUGCCAUGUACCCACAUGAUUGAGUGUGGGCUGAGGGUGAAUCCAAGAAGGGCUUUGUUUUGUGGUCAGUACAGGCUUUGGUCCACAGAGACAACAAUACUUUCAAUACUCUUUUGUUCUGCCCCAGAGGAGCUCAACACAGAAUUGCCUAGAACAAGAAACUGGUGAGAGAAGCUGCAGCCUGUUGAGACUCCACAAGACUGAAGAUAUGAAAAGAGGAAAUAUGCAUGAAUGCCCGCACGGAGAACCACCCCCACCUGCUGCUCCCGCUCUAAUGAUCACGCCCAUUAUCAACUGGGGGAUGGCUCUGUGCCUUGUCCUUGCAUUACAUGGACCAAGAACACUUCACAGGACUCAGAGAGGCAAAAAUAGAUACAAAAGAAGAAGGAAUUACAGAAGAAGUCACAUAACAUUAUUGCCUACAACUGACUGUUUACCUUGAAUACUUGAAGACCAGAAUGAAGAUUCUUGGGGUGAAGAAUUACAGCCUUAGCAUGGAGCAGGCCUCGGUGCAUCGGCUUUCAGCUAGGCAUGCCUGCCAAUGUUCAACGUCCUCCUGGGAUACGGAAGGCACCGUGAUAGACAUCUGGGCAAGUCAACAGGAAGGUGGAUAUCCAAAUCUCUCUCUUCGCAAUGAGUUUCCAGUUAGAUGGAGGAGAGAGUAAUAAAACACAGAGCUGAGAUUCCUGACUUCACAGAUCCCUGAGGAGAUGUUUACUAAAGGGAAUCUUCUGGUCACUGUUACCUUCCUCCGUACUUACCUGCCUCAUGGAGAACCCGAAAGGAAGAAGCUAUACGACUGGGGACACAUGUCUUAGAAGCACACUCAUUAGAUAAAGUGUCGCAUACUCUUUGAUAAGUGACUCAGAACACCCGUGUCCUUCCCAACAUUGGAUGCAAUGCUAAAGACAUGAUGUUGCUCCUGCUGGACCACACCUUGAAGGAAUUGCCUACCCCACCUCACCUCCAAAAUUAAAGUCUUUCGUUUUGACAAAAGUUAAUGAUAAGGUUUGAUGUGCUAAUUUCAGCACCUCCACUUCAUGUCUACACUGUGGACAUAUACUUUUUUGUUGUUUUGGGGUUUUU
rnacentral:lncRNA from 10 species